rnacentral:rRNA from 1 species
AACGAACGCUGGCGGCGUGCCUAACACAUGCAAGUCGAACGGAUUUAUUUGGAAGUAGCAAUACGGAAGGAUAAGUUAGUGGCGGACGGGUGAGUAACACGUAGGUAACCAACCCUCGAGCGGGGGACAACCCAGGGAAACUUGGGCUAAUACCGCAUAAGACCACGGCCUGGAAUGGCUGAGGUAAAAGCAGCAAUGCACUUGAGGAUGGGCCUGCGGCCUAUCAGGUAGUUGGCGGGGUAAAGGCCCACCAAGCCUAAGACGGGUAGCCGGACUGAGAGGUUGAACGGCCACACUGGAACUGAGACACGGUCCAGACUCCUACGGGUGGCUG